GGACCGCGGAGGGGUGGGUUCCUGGGUGGCCGGAGCGCCCCAUCCGCGGCGGGGCACCGCCUACAGCCCGCGCAGCGUACCGGGGUGGGGGGUCCGCGGAGGGCGCCCCGGCCCUCCCCACCCCACCCCCGGCUCCCAGCUGGGGCGAACCCCUGCCACCAACCCACCCCCCCACCCCCCACCAGCGGCCUCGGGGCGCCUCCUCCCGCGGGUCUCCCGGCAGCGGCCGGCCCGGGCGGCGGUGGCCGUGACCGCGUCCGGCGCCCCUGCGCGCGCCCGGAGGCGGGGCGGGGCGGGGCCUCCGCGGCCCCCUCCCCCGGCCCGGGCUCCAGCUCUGCGCGGAGGCAGCGGCAGCGGCGGCGGCGGCGCGGGGACCAAGGUGAGCGGCGGCGGCGGGUCCCGGAGGCCCCGCGGGGGGAGGGGCCCGGGGGGUUCCGGGGGGGGGUGGCCCGCGCGCCCCAGCGGGUGGCCGGGGCCGGCGGCGCGGUGUGUGUGUGUGUGUGUGUGUGUGCGCGCGCGCGUCACGCCGGGUGCGGGGACAGGGGAUGGGACAGGGGUUGGGCGGCCCCCGGCAGGGGGCUCCAGCCUCACCCACUACCGGUACCCCCGGACCUCCCCGCUCCUCUCUCGGGGUCUCUCCCCCUCGCCGGUACCCCCCCGCCCCCACCUCGCCCCGUCCCGCCCCGCCCCCUUCUCGUCUCUAUCUCUGACUUUCUCUCGGUCUCUGUGGGUGGGUCUCUGCGCAUCCGUCCAGCUGGGCGUCCAGCUGCCUUGUUUCCUGGUCUUCCUUCCCCAACGCUGCCCCCGCCCCACGGCAGCCCUUCCCCUCCCUUUACAGUGCCCCCCUUAAUAGAGCAAACAAAGAUGAUAAAGGGAGGGAGGCACCUCCUUUCCCAGCCCUGUCCUGUUUCAGCGUGGGGCCCCACCCCUCUGGCCUCUGGCCUGGGCCUCCCGCCACCUUCCUGCGGGGAGCUGGCCCUGCAGAGCGUGUGUCUGUGUGUGUGUGGGGGGGGGGGGGGGUCGGUCUGGGAAGUAGACACAUCUGAGGGCAGAGACCCCGGGGUGGGAGCACAUAGGGGAGCCCCCCUCCCAUCCCGUGAGAGACAGCACACGGGGCAGACCUGCCUGGCUCUGAGUCUGGGCCUCUGGCAAAAUCAGACCGUGCCCUGGACCCUGUUCACAGGAGCAGGGCCUGACGCUUUCUAA
rnacentral:lncRNA from 1 species